rnacentral:rRNA from 1 species
GAGUUUGAUCCUGGCUCAGAACGAACGCUGGCGGCGUGCUUAACACAUGCAAGUCAGGGAGAAAGUCUCUUCGGGGAUGAUUAAACCGGCGCACGGGUGAGUAACACGUGAGUGACCUGCCUUUUAGACUGGGACAACUUACCGAAAGGUGAGCUAAUGCCGGAUGAGUUAUAUAAGUGCAUGUUUAUAUAGGAAAAGUUGGGGAGACCUGACGCUGAAAGAUGGACUCGCGUCCCAUUAGCUAGUUGGUAGGGUAAUGGCCUACCAAGGCGACGAUGGGUAGCCGGCCUGAGAGGGUGGCCGGCCACACUGGGACUGAGACACGGCCCAGACUCCUACGGGAGGCAGCAGUGGGGAAUUUUGCGCAAUGCUCGUAAGAGUGACGCAGCGACGCCGCGUGAAUGACGAAGGCCUUCGGGUCGUAAAGUUCUUUCGACAGGGAAGAAAAUGCCUAUAAGUAACUGUGUAUGUAUUGACGGUACCUGUAUAAGCAGCCCCGGCUAACUCCGUGCCAGCAGCCGCGGUAAUACGGAGGGGGCGAGCGUUGUUCGGAGUGACUGGGCGUAAAGAGCACGUAGGCGGUGUUGUAAGUCAUUAGUCAAAGACUAGAGCUCAACUUUAGUAAGGCUAGUGAUACUAUAAUACUAGAGUAUCAGAGAGGAUUGCAGAAUUCCUGGUGUAGCGGUGAAAUGCGUAGAUAUCAGGAGGAAUACCGUUAGCG